rnacentral:rRNA from 1 species
GAGCGAAACGGGAAGAGCCCAAACCAACAAGCUUGCUUGUUGGGGUUGUAGGACACUCUAUACGGAGUUACAAAGGACGACAUUAGACGAAUCAUCUGGAAAGAUGAAUCAAAGAAGGUAAUAAUCCUGUAGUCGAAAAUGUUGUCUCUCUUGAGUGGAUCCUGAGUACGACGGAGCACGUGAAAUUCCGUCGGAAUCUGGGAGGACCAUCUCCUAAGGCUAAAUACUCUCUAGUGACCGAUAGUGAACCAGUACCGUGAGGGAAAGGUGAAAAGCACCCCGGAAGGGGAGUGAAAUAGAACCUGAAACCGUGUGCUUACAAGUAGUCAGAGCCCGUUAAUGGGUGAUGGCGUGCCUUUUGUAGAAUGAACCGGCGAGUUACGAUUUGAUGCAAGGUUAAGCAGUAAAUGUGGAGCCGUAGCGAAAGCGAGUCUGAAUAGGGCGUUUAGUAUUUGGUCGUAGACCCGAAACCAGGUGAUCUACCCUUGGUCAGGUUGAAGUUCAGGUAACACUGAAUGGAGGACCGAACCGACUUACGUUGAAAAGUGAGCGGAUGAACUGAGGGUAGCGGAGAAAUUCCAAUCGAACCUGGAGAUAGCUGGUUCUCUCCGAAAUAGCUUUAGGGCUAGCCUCAAGUGAUGAUUAUUGGAGGUAGAGCACUGUUUGGACGAGGGGCCCCUCUCGGGUUACCGAAUUCAGACAAACUCCGAAUGCCAAUUAAUUUAACUUGGGAGUCAGAACAUGGGUGAUAAGGUCCGUGUUCGAAAGGGAAACAGCCCAGACCACCAGCUAAGGUCCCAAAAUAUAUGUUAAGUGGAAAAGGAUGUGGCGUUGCCCAGACAACUAGGAUGUUGGCUUAGAAGCAGCCAUCAUUUAAAGAGUGCGUAAUAGCUCACUAGUCGAGUGACACUGCGCCGAAAAUGUACCGGGGCUAAACAUAUUACCGAAGCUGUGGAUUGUCCUUUGGACAAUGGUAGGAGAGCGUUCUAAGGGCGUUGAAGCAUGAUCGUAAGGACAUGUGGAGCGCUUAGAAGUGAGAAUGCCGGUGUGAGUAGCGAAAGACGGGUGAGAAUCCCGUCCACCGAUUGACUAAGGUUUCCAGAGGAAGGCUCGUCCGCUCUGGGUUAGUCGGGUCCUAAGCUGAGGCCGACAGGCGUAGGCGAUGGAUAACAGGUUGAUAUUCCUGUACCACCUAUAAUCGUUUUAAUCGAUGGGGGGACGCAGUAGGAUAGGCGAAGCGUGCGAUUGGAUUGCACGUCUAAGCAGUAAGGCUGAGUAUUAGGCAAAUCCGGUACUCGUUAAGGCUGAGCUGUGAUGGGGAGAAGACAUUGUGUCUUCGAGUCGUUGAUUUCACACUGCCGAGAAAAGCCUCUAGAUAGAAAAUAGGUGCCCGUACCGCAAACCGACACAGGUAGUCAAGAUGAGAAUUCUAAGGUGAGCGAGCGAACUCUCGUUAAGGAACUCGGCAAAAUGACCCCGUAACUUCGGGAGAAGGGGUGCUCUUUAGGGUUAACGCCCAGAAGAGCCGCAGUGAAUAGGCCCAAGCGACUGUUUAUCAAAAACACAGGUCUCUGCUAAACCGUAAGGUGAUGUAUAGGGGCUGACGCCUGCCCGGUGCUGGAAGGUUAAGAGGAGUGGUUAGCUUCUGCGAAGCUACGAAUCGAAGCCCCAGUAAACGGCGGCCGUAACUAUAACGGUCCUAAGGUAGCGAAAUUCCUUGUCGGGUAAGUUCCGACCCGCACGAAAGGCGUAACGAUUUGGGCACUGUCUCAACGAGAGACUCGGUGAAAUCAUAGUACCUGUGAAGAUGCAGGUUACCCGCGACAGGACGGAAAGACCCCGUGGAGCUUUACUGUAGCCUGAUAUUGAAAUUCGGCACAGCUUGUACAGGAUAGGUAGGAGCCUUUGAAACGUGAGCGCUAGCUUACGUGGAGGCGCUGGUGGG